rnacentral:lncRNA from 1 species
AAAAAUGAGGCAUUUUUAAAAUUUGAGGUCUUAAGCGACCGUUUUUUUCGCCUAUAUUUAAAACCGUCUCUAAAUUAGGAUGGCGUAAGAUGAAAUGAGACAUGAUAGUCUUGGGAGAUGGUUGAGAUUGCUUUGUGUUAGAAAUGGUACCAUGAUCACUACAACUAGAGCUUCUUUUAUGCCAUCAUAGUUUUGGUUUUCGAGGUCGUGUUUAUCUAUUGAUGAAAACUUGGAAGUGAUAUGUGCUGUGUUAUUGAUUCAAUUCAAAAAGCUUUCUGGUUUGAUUUGGUUAAUCUUCCCUUAUAAACUUGUGACUAGAACCGUUUAGUGUUCAAUCUAGUAGAUUUCCUUUAUGGCUUCCUAUGCCCAUUUUGGUUAUUUAGCUUCAAGUCCUAAGUGAGGGGACAUCAGUUAAUUACAAUAAAUUUGACAAAUCUUCACAGACCACCUAUCCUUUGGCUCAUAGUCAUUUAUUAAGCUCUGAGCUUAUCAACAUUAUCUUCAAAGAUUAAAAGACCAAUUAUAAAUACCUGAUAAAUAAACAUUUCUAGUUGAAAUCUUCUAGCUUUUAACAUAAUUUAUAAGGAUGAAGCCAAUCUUGCAACGGUGGCAGCAUACUACUAAUCUUGUCUUUUUGUGGUUUCAACACACCACCAUACUAUUCUUGUCUCCUGUACUUUCAAUUUGAAAUAGACAUGUGGCAUGUUACAUGAAUCUAGUCAAUUUACUUACUAAAAAUAGAUGACCUAACUGGAUCUGCCAUGCCUAGAACUUUUUUAAAAAGGAAAAAGAAUAACUAGAGUGAGGUAGUGACGCAUGCAGUUACAUAUGCAAAAUUAUGAGGAUGGUGAUAGCCGAAAAUGGCAAAACCUGAAGCCGGUCCCACAUGAGGUAACAGGAUUUGAAAUUGACAUCCAAAUCUCAUCCAUCCGAUGAUGAUCACACUACUGUUUGUCGUGCCUCUCAGUUAUUUUGGGAUAGUCGUACAUGGAAUAACAGAGAGUCCCCUUUCAUUAAGUACCCGAUUAAAUUAAAAGAUAAAAAUAUAUUAUAUUAGAAUGUAUUAUUAUUUUUAGUUUAAUUUUUAUUUUAAUAGAAGUGAAAGAUUUUAAACUAGAAAAUUACUUUUUUGUGGGUAAUUUAAAGAGUAAUACUAGAGCCACAAUUAUUUUGAGCAAACAAGAUAUAACAUGAAGAGAUUGGUUGUACUAAACAAUUAUGGGUCUACAUAAUUGAAAAAAAAUAAUUGUUAUUACUUUUAAGCUAAUCUCUUUAUGUUAAUCAAUUUGUACACAAAACUGUUCAUGGUUCUAUCAUUAUUGUAUUCUAAAUAUCCAAUAACAUUUUUAUAGGCUUAUCAACAAUAUAUAUACAUUAACCCCCUUUGAUUCGUCCGUUUAUAUUUUAUAAAACUAAAUUUGAAGAUGUAACAGAUAAAUCCGGUACAGAUAGAUGUUGACCUUAGGAUUAGUCUGGUUGUUUUUAAGAAUUCUUUUUUUCUUUUUUGGUUGUCCACCCAAGUUUAAAUUUCAAAUAAGAAGUUCAAAAAUUAUUUUGGACUUCAUUCGAACAUGUUAUUAAGUUGUGUGGUUUAAUUGAAAUAAGUACAGACACGCUAUUAAACCACAUGAUUUUAUAAUAAAUUGAACAUUAACUCUAAUAUACCACUU